rnacentral:rRNA from 1 species
UACGAAGGGGCGAGCGUUGUUCGGAAUUACUGGCGUAAAGGGCGCGCAGGCGGCUCGACAAGUCAGAUGUGAAAGCCCCGGGCUCAACCUGGAACGGCAUUUGGGACUGUCGGGCUAGAGUUCGGGAGAGGUGGGUGGAAUUCCCAGUGUAGAGGUGAAAUUCGUAAGAUAUUGGGAAGAACACCGGUGGCGAAGGCGGCUCACUGGACCGAGACUGACGCUGAGGCGCGAAGCGUGGGAGCAAACAGG